GAUCCUGGCUCAGGAUGAACGCUAGCGGCAGGCCUAACACAUGCAAGUCGAGGGGCAGCGGGAUUGAAGCUUGCUUCAAUUGCCGGCGACCGGCGCACGGGUGCGUAACGCGUAUGCAACCUACCCAUAACAGGGGAGUAACACUGAGAAAUAGGUACUAAUAUCCACUAACAUCAUGAGGGGCGAUCCCUUUUCGGUUUGUAAACGUACCGGUCGGUUAGUUGGUAGUGGGCGAGUGCGUUGUAUUAGUCUUGG
rnacentral:rRNA from 1 species